AUGCCUACACAGCCUGAUGGGGUCCUCCCUCAGAGCACCGGGCAGGGUGGAGGACACCCGUGCCCCCAGGCCCCUCGGGGCACUAAGGAUUUGGGUUUGCAGUCCCCGACUCGGGGCUCUCUGACACCUGGCCGCCCACACCCCACAGGGUCCAGGAACCUCCUGGUGGGCGUGCUGAUGUUCGCGCUGCUGCUGGCUCUGGCGCUCCUGGUGGCCAUGCUCCUCUACCGGAAGGGCUGGAUCCCCACCUGUAGGAGGAGCGCAGCGCCUGCGACUGCCAAGGGGCUGUCCAACCCCCUGUUCCACGAGGGGCAAGGCGUGCCGGCCAAGGGUGGGGCUCCGGGCCCCAUCAUCCACCCCUGCCAGCCCGCCAGGCCCACGGCCUCUGCGGCGACCCCUAAGCAGCCACCCUUUGCUGUAAGCACAGCAUCCCCGCUCCCUGGGCCAUCCCUGGGCCAUCCCUGGGCCAUCCCGCCAGCAGCUUAGGGCUGCCCCAGGGAGGCAGAAGCAGGCUUUGGGGUGGACCGUCUGAGAACUCACAGGAGCCAGGGACAGGACGGGAGCUUGAACCUGGUCGGGAGGCUCUCGGCCUCUGCAGGGUCAGUCCGGAGGUGUUAAGGCCCAGACGCCCUCUGUUGCUGCCCAGCACCUCCACAAGGCUGAGGGAGGGGGUGUGGGGGUCACACCUGGGCUGGGCCCUGCUGGGCAGUGGGGCGGGGCGGGGCGGUGCAUUGCCCGCAGUUUAUUCUCCCUGGGAGGGUGGGAGCCUUGCGUCCCGAGCUGGGGGCGCUGCUCCCUGUGAGACCCAGGCUCCCGCCUCUGCUCCCCGCAGCCUUCAGCCACCUUGUGCAACCCCGCCUUCACGGUUCCUGUGUACACCCGGCCGCCCCCACAGCAGGUGAGCCGCGGGGGUGCCCGGCAGCCAGGCCAUCGGGGGUUCCCAGUGGGUCUGAGGUGGGGAGUGCAGGGGCUGGGGGCUGGAUGUGUUGAGCCGGGGACCCCAGGGCAGCGGCUGCCCCAUCGGCUGGGCUGGUCGAUGGUGCUGUCCAGAGGACAUCUGCUAAAGAAACCCUGGCGCCCAGGGGGCCUGACUGCUCUCCUCCCUCCCACCAGCCCAGGCCUGCUCCUCCUGCCGCGCCCCUUCCUGAGCUGAAGCCCAAGCAGGUGAGAAGCCUCGGCCACUUGGGAGAUUCCCCCCACCCCUGCGCCUGGGCCCCUCUAUGGCCGGGGGGGCCCUUCAUGGCCGGACCCUGCUGUGUGUGCGGCUCCUCCGCCAUGAAGUCCUCUGCUUCCCUUUGGACCUGAUUUCUAGAGAUGUUUUGAGAGAUGCUCAGCAGAUGACUCCUUCCUCUGUGACCUCCAGGCUCCGCCUGUGUCUGGAGGCCCUAAACUCAUUUUAGACAUACUGAAAAGCUGCAAAAAUAGGGUUAGGAGGGACUUUGACAGGACAAAUGGGGACCACGGGGCAGAAAGGGUCUGGCCAAUG
rnacentral:lncRNA from 1 species